rnacentral:sRNA from 1 species
GAAAAUAAUUAGAACCUGUCUAGUAUCUGCUGAAUCUGGCAUGACARACUCCUCAGUCGGUUUUCCACAAUUCUACCAGAUUCAGCAGAUACUAGACAGGUUCUUAAAGAGUUGCUUU